AUUGAACGCUGGCGGCAGGCCUAACACAUGCAAGUCGAGCGAGCGGCGGACGGGUGAGUAAUGUCUGUGAAACUGCCUGCUGGAGGGGGAUAACAACUGGAAAAGGUAGCUAUUACCGCAUACCAUCAGAUGUGCCCCGAUGGGAUUGGCUAGUAGGUGGGGUAACGGCUCACCUAGGCGCCGAUCCCUAUCUGGUCUGUGAGGAUGACCAGCCACACUGGAACUGAGACACGGUCCAGACUCCUACGGGAGGCAGCAGUGGGGAAUAUUGCACAAUGGGCGCAAGCCUGAUGCAGCCAUGCCGCGUGUGUGAAGAAGGCCUUCGGGUUGUAAAGCACUUUCAGCGGGGAGGCGUUACCCGCAGAAGAAGCACCGGCUAACUCCGUGCCAGCAGCCGCGGUAAUUC
rnacentral:rRNA from 1 species